rnacentral:rRNA from 1 species
GACGAACGCUGGCGGCGUGCCUAACACAUGCAAGUCGAGCGGGACGCAGCGAUGCGUCCAGCGGCGGACGGGUGAGUAACACGUGAGGAACCUGCCCUUCAGUGGGGAACAACACCGGGAAACCGGUGCUAAUACCGCAUGACGUCCCUGGGGAGACAUCUUCCUGGGACCAAAGGAGAAAUCCGCUGAAGGAUGGCCUCGCGCCCGAUUAGCUAGUUGGCGGGGUAACGGCCCACCAAGGCUUCGAUCGGUAGCCGAACUGAGAGGUUGAUCGGCCACAUUGGGACUGAGACACGGCCCAGACUCCUACGGGUGGCUG